GUAGCCAAACCAAUACUACUCUACGGAGUCACAGUAUGGUGGCCGGCUCUGUCAAAAAAUACAAUCACCCUUUGCAUCAGUGGCUCACCGGCUCUCAGUAGAAGGAGGCUAAGAUUCUAGGCUCACGUUUUCUAAACGACAUUUCAUAAAUGGCUACUAUAGGCCCCAGGAAGAUAGCAAACUUUGUAAAAGCAUCUGGAUGGGAGCACUGCUGACACCGGGACAAACGGGAGGAGAAGAGGAAUUAGAUCCAAGCGGAAUUACAACGGGCCGAAACCGGCCUAAGUGUGUCGGGAUUGCAAAAUCUCGACAACCGCCUCAACCUAACCUAACCUAACAAUUGCACGUGUUUUCUAUGGAACAUUACUUUUGCACAGCACACCACUGCACAGAGGUUCAAGUUACAUGUUAUUAACCAAAUAUUAAUAAAUCACGUGGUGUUAAUGCUUUUUGGUCGUUUUUGCCCUUUUUCGAACAAUUUUAAAUUUUUGCAGAUGCUUAUGAGUUCACUCAUGCAGAGCUGCUGGAGGUCUGGACAAACAACAAUCGUGAAGCAGAAGCAAUAAAAUGUUAUAGUUUAAAGAGUAUUGACCAAAACUGAGUAACUAAGAUGAAAC
rnacentral:lncRNA from 1 species